GGAAUCUUCCACAAUGGGCGAAAGCCUGAUGGAGCAACGCCGCGUGUGUGAUGAAGGGUUUUGGCUCGUAAAGCACUGUUGUAAGAGAAGAAUGACAUUGAGAGUAACUGUUCAAUGUGUGACGGUAUCUUACCAGAAAGGAACGGCUAAAUACGUGCCAG
rnacentral:rRNA from 1 species